AUUGAACGCUGGCGGCAUGCUUUACACAUGCAAGUCGAACGGCAGCACGGGGGCAACCCUGGUGGCGAGUGGCGAACGGGUGAGUAAUAUAUCGGAACGUACCCGGAAAUGGGGGAUAACGUAGCGAAAGUUACGCUAAUACCGCAUAUGCCCUAAGGGGGAAAGCGGGGGAUUCGCAAGAACCUCGCGUUUUCGGAGCGGCCGAUAUCGGAUUAGCUAGUAGGUGAGGUAAAGGCUCACCUAGGCGACGAUCCGUAGCUGGUCUGAGAGGACGACCAGCCACACUGGAACUGAGACACGGUCCAGACUCCUACGGAGGCAGCAGUGGGGAAUUUUGGACAAUGGCGCAAGCCUGAUCCAGCCAUGCCGCGUGAGUGAAGAAGGCUCGGUUGGUAAGACGUCUUUCUAGCC
rnacentral:rRNA from 1 species